rnacentral:rRNA from 1 species
UACGGAGGGGGCUAGCGUUGUUCGGAAUUACUGGGCGUAAAGUGCACGUAGGCGGCUUUGCAAGUUAGAGGUGAAAGCCCGGGGCUCAACUCCGGAAUUGCCUUUAAAACUGCAUCGCUAGAAUUGUGGAGAGGUAAGUGGAAUUCCGAGUGUAGAGGUGAAAUUCGUAGAUAUUCGGAAGAACACCAGUGGCGAAGGCGACUUACUGGACACAUAUUGACGCUGAGGUGCGAAAGCGUGGGGAGCAAACAGG